rnacentral:rRNA from 1 species
ACGAACGCUGGCGGCGUGCUUAACACAUGCAAGUCGAACGGAAAGGCCCUGCUUUUGUGGGGUGCUCGAGUGGCGAACGGGUGAGUAACACGUGAGUAACCUGCCCUUGACUUUGGGAUAACUUCAGGAAACUGGGGCUAAUACCGGAUAGGAGCUCCUGCUGCAUGGUGGGGGUUGGAAAGUUUCGGCGGUUGGGGAUGGACUCGCGGCUUAUCAGCUUGUUGGUGGGGUAGUGGCUUACCAAGGCUUUGACGGGUAGCCGGCCUGAGAGGGUGACCGGCCACAUUGGGACUGAGAUACGGCCCAGACUCCUACAGGAGGCAGCAGUGGGGAAUAUUGCACAAUGGGCGGAAGCCUGAUGCAGCAACGCCGCGUGCGGGAUGACGGCCUUCGGGUUGUAAACCGCUUUCGCCUGUGACGAAGCGUGAGUGACGGUAAUGGGUAAAGAAGCACCGGCUAACUACGUG